GGCCUACGGGGGGCAGCAGUGGGGGAUAUUGGACAAUGGGGGGAACCCUGAUCCAGCGACGCCGCGUGAGUGAAGAAGUAUUUCGGUAUGUAAAGCUCUAUCAGCAGGGAAGAAAAUGACGGUACCUGACUAAGAAGCCCCGGCUAACUACGUGCCAGCAGCCGCGGUAAUACGUAGGGGGCAAGCGUUAUCCGGAUUUACUGGGUGUAAAGGGAGCGUAGACGGCUGUGCAAGUCUGGAGUGAAAGGCAUGGGCUCAACCUGAGGACUGCUUCGGAAACUGUGCGGCUUGAGUGUCGGAGAGGG
rnacentral:rRNA from 1 species